rnacentral:tRNA from 1 species
UGUCAAGGGAUGGAAUCGAACCCACGACCUUCCGCCUACCAGGCCGAUGCCAUGACCACUAGGCUACCCUGGAC